UUUCCUGCGAUGUGUGCUUGGAUACUGU
rnacentral:piRNA from 1 species